CGGGGAGGGGAAAGAGGGUAGAGGGAUGAGAGGACCCGCACUGGUCCUGCAAGAGGGCGAAAGAACGACUGAAACAGCAAAACACGGGAGCAUCCUAGGAGCGCUCCGGGCCCACAUUACAUUUAAAAUGAAUCUCUUGGUUGAGAAGACCGAUGGGUGGGUAAAGAAUGUGGUGUGCAGAUGCCUCAGGAUGCUCAUCCAAAAACGUCUGGGGGUGGGGGGGGGGUGGGGCUGGAGAGAUGGCUCAGUGGUUAGAGCACUGACUGCUCUUCCAGAGGUCCUGAGUUCAAUCCCCAGCAACCACGUGGUGGCUCACAACCAUCUGUAAUGGAAUCCGAUGCCCUCUUCUGGUUUGUCUGAAGAAAACGACAGUGUGCUUACAUACAUAAAAUAAAUGAGUCUUUAAAAAAAAAAAAUCUGGGAUUGGCAGCACAGGAGACAGAAAUAGAAGGACCCCUGGGGCUUACUGGACAGUUGGUCUAGCUGAAUCUGUGAAGGCUGGGUUCAGUGAAAGACUGUGUCUCAAACAAUUUUUAUAUUUUAUACCAAAUACUAGAUGUUAAAAGUCGUUUACUUUUUCAUUGUAAUCUAGGGUGAAAGGCUUUUUUAAAAAAGUGUUUCCUAUGUCCCAGGCUACCUUUGAACUCAUUAUGUAAUCAAAGAAAGCCUUGAACUCAGACUCCUCCUGUCUCUACUUCCCAAGUGCUAAGGUUGUAGGCAUGUAUCACCAGGCCUGGGCGAGUGUAGCUCGUGAGAAUUUUGGUGAAGGUUGACCUUUCUCGCAUCCACAAACCCCUUUUACCCAGACAGUUUUGGCUUGUGGUACCCAUCUGACACAUUCUGUCCAUCAGAAGACAAGCAGAAGCAGUCUAAGUGUGGAUUCUGAGAAAGUUUUUUCCUUUCCUCAGAAAACAAAAGGCACAGACUGGUUAGUCACUUCCCUUUAACCCUGUGUCCUUCUUCUUCUCCUUUUCGCUCUCUUCCUUUUCUGUAGAGAAGACAGGCAGCCUCAAGAUGAUGCAGUGGUCAUCUUGGGACCAUGAGGGCCAGUGUGAAACUGUACCCACAUCCAGAGUGACAGGGCAGAAACACACAACUUGACACAAGCUAGCAUCAUCUGAAGCUCUCACAUCAAGUGAGAAAAUGCCUCCGUAACUCCCAGCAGUAGGACAUUUUAUUAAUGAAUGAUCAGUGAGGAAGGGCCCAGCCCACUGUGUGUGGUGCCAUCCCUGGGCUGCUGGUUCUGGGUCCUAUAAGAAAGCAGGCUGAGCAAACCAGUAAGCAGCAUCCUUCCAUGGCCUCUGCAUCAGCUCCUGCCUCCAGGUACCCGCGCUGUUUUGAGUUCAAGUUCGACUUCCCUCAGUGAUGGAUUGUUACCUGGAAGUGUAAGCUGAACUAAGCCCCUUGCUUCCCAAAUUUCUUUGGUCAUGGUGAUUCAUCACAGCCAUAGAAACCCAAACUAAGACAAUGUCUGAGUCUCUGGUAGAGAUGCUGAUCCCCAUCGAGCCCUGUUUCUACCCCUGGAAUUCCUAUCUAGGGAGACAAAUCAACUCCUCUCUUAAAGUCAACACAUUAGCUUGGCUUUCUGUUUUUCAGCUUGUUACAGCCUAAGGCAUAGAGCUACAUUCUAGCAAACACAGAAAUGCUAUGCCACUGGACCACAGCAACUUUCACAGACUAAUUCUGACACAGUCUCUUGCAUCGGCUCCCCAGUACUGGGGUAACGGUUCUGUGCCAACGUGCCGGACUCCACACACAAUCCCAUGAAACCUUUCAACCUUUGUCUCUAUUCUUCUCUUAUCCCACUUAACUCCAUGUGUUUAAUAUUUUAUUUAUACUUCAGUAUUGCCCUUUUCUCUUCUUUGGAAGAAGGCAACACGUGAGCAAUUUGGAAUCUUUGCUCUCUUGUUCCCAGACUAUUACCAUACUUCUACAUCCUUCUGGGUGUUCUCCAGUAGACCAUCAUGUCGGUCUCCUGAGUUACAGGCUCCCAUGAUCUUUGGCAGGGUAUCCAAUGUCUGUCAAGACCUUGCUUCCUCUGGUUCCUAUGUCCUCAUUUCCCACUGCUGUUCCCAUCUGAGUUACUUUUUUCUUACCUUGAUGAAAAACUAUGACCAAGUUCCUUGGGCUAGAGUUCAUGAUCAUCACGGCAGGGAAUGCGGAAUGGGGCAGGCAGGCACGGCGCUGGAAUAGUAGCUGAGAGCUUACAACUGGUCCGUAAAUAGGUAGAAAGAACUAACUGGGAAUGAUGAAGGAAUCUGAAAGCUCAAAGCCCACGCCUCAGUGACACAUCUUCUCCAACAUGGCUGCACAUCUGAACCCUUCCAAUUAGUCCCACCUCAUACAGACCAAGCAUUCAAAUAUAUGAGGGCAUUCUUGUUUAAACCGUCACUUUCUAGCCCCAGGUCCCCAUAAGAUUGUACUCAUACCAGUGUAUUGAGACCAACUUCAAAAGCCCCUAUAGCCUUCCACAGUCUCAAAACAGUUUAGGAGUCCAUAUGCCAAGGCAGGUAGAAAUCCAUGGGAGGCCUCCCUUUCUCUGAGGAGAAAGGGAAAGGGAGAUAGGGGAGGGGAGGGGAUAGGAGAGAGAAGAACUGGGAAGAGAGGAAGGAGGGGAAGCUGUGAUUGGGAUGUAAAAACAAUUAGUGACAAAAUUAAAAGAAAAAAGAAAGUGAAAACUAGGGAAGUGUCCUGUAAACAUUUCUGUACAAUGCAAAACCUCUUUUGAGUAUUCAAUUUAUUUAUUUGUCAUAGAAACAUUAGAGUCACCAAUUAUGGAGAAUAUGAAUAUAUAUAUAUAUUCAGAGAUGAUCUCUUAAUUGUAACUCCAGUAAAAUUAAAAAGCAAAGCAUAGGCUUUCAAUAUACAAUAGCAAAGAACACAUAUUGCCAUUCCAAAAGGGAGGUUUAAGGGCACAGAUGAAAUACUGGACCAAAGCAAGUUUGAAAACCAGCAGAUUAAACUCCAAAUCCUUUAACUUCAUGUCUCGUGUCAAAGGGCUUAGAUGGCCCCACCCUUCCAGCUUUGCUAAGUCUUUCUCUUGGGCGGGUUCCACUCUGUCUGCAGAUUUUCUUGGCAGACAUCCUACAGUUCUGACGUCUCCAGCAUCUUGGGGUCCUCAACAUAAUCUAAAUGUCACUUUCACAGCUUCACAAAUGGUCUCCCUGAGCCUCCACUCCAGGGACUCCCCUGGCCUCAGCUGCUUCCUGUAACCUUGGACGAAGAGUGUACAAUCCAAUGAUCCUUGUAUCCUUCCUUACUCUAAAGCCAGAACCACUGUGGCUGAAGCUUCUAAGCUUGGCUGCCUGAUGGGAUGGCGCCAGCCUCACUCCUUGAAUUGUAUUUCCAUAAACAUUGAUUCAUUGCUUCUUUUUUUAGAACCAGAGAGUUCCUUAGACUUUUCCUUUCAGAGGUUACAGGGUCAGUUAGGUGGGGGUCACCCAAUGAAAGUACCUCUCCCUUUAUUCCGUUUUGUACCAGGCACCUCCUUGUCUCUUUCCUCAGAACCUUUGGCUCCGACUUUAAAUCUCCUGGUGCUAUUCUUCUUUACAAACUGUACAUCUCGUAUCUCUUUUUCAUUUUAGCUCUGCAUAAGAGUGAUCACUAAUACCCAAUAGAUGGAGGCAAUCUUGAAAUCUCUUCUGCCAAUAAAAUUACUCAAGAAUGCUCCAAUUUACCCUCAGACAUAUUCUUAGGACAAGAGCCCAAAGCAGUCAUAUUUGUAGCCAAAUAUCACAACUAUGGUCUCCGGGCAAGUUGCUAAUAUCAUCCCCCUUUAAAAUUAUAGAGAGAAUCUCUUAUGCAAUGUAAAGAAGCAUCAUCUGUCAAUAAAAUGUUGUUGGCAUAUUAGCUUGGCUAGAAAAUAGGAAGGUCAAGGUUCCAGUACAGAAAGAGGGUUUUUGAAAUAGAGUCAGGUGCAGGAAGUUCACCCUGAAACUCUGAGGAGACAGUUACAUGAAACUGAAGGAUAGGUAACCAUCCACAUGGUACUCAUAAAAUAGGAUAAAUGGGUUAAAUAAGUUACAAAUUAGUCAGGGAAGAAGCCAAAGCUUAUGGCCUCAGCACUUAUUCACAUAUAAUUAAGUCUUAGAGUUGUUAUUUUUGGGAACAAAGAGGCCAGGUGGAAAAGCCUACAGCUAUAGAAAUCUCUUGCACUGGGCCUCCAUAGUCUACAUUGCGCUUAGCUUUAUUGUCUUCCAAGCUCUUAUUAGCAUGCCUCAUUAAGCCUUGAUUACAAUAUUCUACUGCUUUCUAGACCAAAGUCUUCAUGUUUCUCUACAAAACAGCAUGGUCAAGCCUUCCACAGCAAUACCUCAAUGUGAAAGCUAAGCUUUCGUCUAAGUUGUUUUUCUGUUGCCAUGACAAAAUACCAUGACCAAGGCAACUUACAGAAGGAAGCAUUUUAUUUGGGUUACAGUUCAUGACCCUAGGGGGCAUGGCAGCCAACAGGAGAGUAUGGCUCUAGAAGUUGAGAACUUACAUUUGACCUACAGAGAUAAGAUAGUGAGAGCUGACAGGCAAUGGUGUGGGCUUUUGAAACCUCAAAGUUGGUCCCUAUUGACACACCUCCUCCAACAAGGCCACACCUCCCAAUCCUUCCCAAACAGUUCUACCAACUGGGGACCACUUAUUCAAACAUGUGAGCCUAUGGGGACCAUUCUCAUUCAAACCACCACCCUCCAUUUGGAAGUGGAAACUUACUUUAUAUUUGUGUUUAUUUGUAUUGUAGUUGUGUGUUUUAUGUGUGUUAAUGGUAUGUUGUUUAAAAUGUACAUAUAAGUGUGUGUUUGUGCAUGUGUGUGUGUGUGUGUGUGUGUGUGUGUGUAAUCUGCUCUGCUGCUUCUUCCUGUGAACUCUUACUCAUAUCUGAAUACUUCCUCUCUAGUCCCCCCCCCAUUAUGAAACUGUCACAUUUUCCUCUACUUUCAAGAUCCUCUUGCUAACGGCAAUUAUCACAUUUCAAUGAUAUAGAUAUUUCUCUGUUUUUGCAUGGUAUGUGUGUAUCUGAUUUGGGUGCCUGAUGAAGACAGUGUACAGUUCACGGUAUCUUUGGGGGGAUCUUACCAGUUCAUCACCCACUGUAUUUGUAACAACCUUAUUGAUUAGGAAGCUUGUCAUGGUUAGUCUUGGUGACUUGAAACUGGAAGGAGAAGCUAUUAUUAGAGAUGGUGUGUUUAUGGCCACUAGAUCCAUGAUAAGCUAUUAAGAGGUGAAGGAAGGCACACACACACACACACACACACACACACACACACACACACACACCUAUAUGUACAUUUUGAGCAUUAUAAAAUCAACAAAUGUUAGACACACAACACUUCCAAAGCGGGGUGAUGGUGUAUUUUAAGUAUUCUCAGAAAUAUAUCUCGGCCCACUGGCUAAUGAGCUGGUAGUCACACUUUUUUGUGACUGUUUCUUACUCUCCCAACUAAAUCCAAGUCAUGCUAUGUGAGAUAAGGAAUCACACCAUCAUUCAACACUGGCUCAAGCAUGACCCUCUCAAUAUGUCUGCAAUGUAGGAGGGAGAAGAAGUAUUACAUCAUAGGAACAACAUCCAUUCUGUGUGAUACCCUGAAAUAGCAUGCCUCUGCUUCCUCUUGAUGUCUGUUUUGUGGAAUUUUGUUUGAUUAUCUCCAUAUAUGGCUAAGUUGGAAGUCAUGUGACCCUGGGCCCUUGGCAGGACUCAAACACUUGAGAAGCCACAAUAGGGAAAAAUGGAAGUGAUUGACAGGCUUUUGUCAGAGUGGAACAUUGAGUUAGUUCUGAAAAAGCCAAGGGGUUUUAACAAGCUUUGUCCUGCCCCUGGCUUUGAGCAAUUCACUUCAUGAUCAAGUUCUAGAACCUGGAGACAGUUUAGCAGUUAAGAGUAUUUACAGCUCUUGAAAAGGACCUGAGUGCAGUUCCUAGUACUCACAGCAGGCAACCACAAAUUCCUUGGAACUGCUCUAUGGGAUCUGAAGUCUUACUUGGCCUUCACAGACAUGGGCACACACACAGUGACAGGAACACAUACACAUAAAUAAAACCCAAAAUGAAUCUUAAAUAAAAAGAAAACAAAAAAGUUCUAAUGGAGACACAGUGUAGGGACUAUUAAUCACACCUUUUUGUUAGCAGCUAGUACAAAGUUGCUGGGACAGAUGACCUGGAAAGCAAACGUGUCCUUGUAGGAGAGUCAGCCUGACAGCACCUCACUGCUAUGUGAUUCUGCCAUUGUCAUGUAUGCCAGUGCUGAAGCACACUCAGUGCAUCUGUGAUAUCAGUAGAAAUGGACUGGAAAUACACAUAUACAUAUAUCCACAUGCUAGUGGCCCAAGAAACAGAGGUGUAACAAGGAAGCACAGUAGAUUUUCUUUGUGCUUUAAAAGCUCAACUUCCAUGUGAUCAUGCCAGCUUGGUGCUUGUAUGACUCCAGCUAUGAAAAGGAAGAGGUUAGCAAAAAGAUUUUCUUCCCUUACACCAGGUCUUUGGGGUUCGUUUUUUUUUUUGUUAUUGUCAUUUUCACCACUAGAGUAAGAGUGGGCAGCAUAGGGUGGAAAUAGUCUCACACUAAUUUUAGAGCAUUUGCAUAGCAUUCUUAGAACAGGGUCUUUCUGUGACCUCACUGAAAGGAGCAACUGGACAAACAGGAACAGAACAGAAAGAUGACGUUCUUGUGAGGCUCUUUCAGAGUUUGCUGACACUUCAUACUGUUCUGUAAGCUUUGCAGAUGAGACAGCAGUUUUCAUCAAAUCUCUGAACUUUGCUUGCAUGGUUGUCGUGGCUCAGUAGCCUUGUUUUGCGGGAGGAUGCUUCUGCAACUUCUCCGAAGACCUGAACUAGGGAGGACGCUUCUGCAACUUCUCCGAAGACCUGAACUAGGGAGGACGCUUCUGCAACUUCUCCGAAGACCUGAACUAGGGAGGACGCUUCUGCAACUUCUCCGAAGACCUGAACUAGGUCACCAGAAACUGCUGCCUUCAUUUCCAGGCUCCGCAAGGGAGAAGACACAGCUCAUGACUCCCCACACACUCGCUGGAUGGAGUACCGGGCUGUAGCCUCCACAUUCCACACUGCUAGUAUUUUCUCUACCAAACUCUUGUUGACAAAUGAGAGUAAUACAUUACCCUACACAGUCAAAUAAAUACUCUAAUCGGACAGCUCCAGGUUGCCAGCA